rnacentral:rRNA from 1 species
GUUGUUGCUGGCUCUCCUUGGAGUGCAUUGUGCACACUUGUUUUUCUUUAUUUCUCCAACUGUGCACAAAUUGUGUAGACCUUGACCAGUCUAUGUUUUUUUUCAUAAUCUCUGAAUGGUAUUAGAAUGUGGGGAAAUAUAAUUAUAUAUAUACAACUUUCAGCAACGGAUCUCUUGGCUCUCGCAUCGAUGAAGAACGCAGCGAAAUGCGAUAAGUAAUGUGAAUUGCAGAAUUCAGUGAAUCAUCGAAUCUUUGAACGCAUCUUGCGCUCCUUGGUAUUCCGAGGAGCAUGCCUGUUUGAGUGUCAUUUGAAACUUCUCAACUGCUUCUGAAUAUGCAGCUUGGAAAUGGGAGAUUGUGUUUUGCAGGCUUGUCUGCUCUCCUGAAAUAUAUUAGUGGGGUCUGGGCAGACUCAACCACAGGNGUGAUAACUAUCAAUACCUUUGUUGUAUCUGCUGCUGCUUCCAACCCUAAAUGAAUGACCAACUUGACCUCAAAUCAGGUAGGAUUACCCGCUGAACUUAAGCAUAUCAAUAAGCGGAGGAAA